rnacentral:rRNA from 1 species
AUUGAACGCUGGCGGCAGGCCUAACACAUGCAAGUCGAACGAGCGGCGGACGGGUGAGUAAUGUCUGGGAAACUGCCCGAUGGAGGGGGAUAACUACUGGAAACGGUAGCUAAUACCGCAUACUAUCGGAUGUGCCCAUAUGGGAUUAGCUUGUAGGUAAGGUAAUGGCUCACCUAGGCGACGAUCCCUAGCUGGUCUGAGAGGAUGAACAGCCACACUGGGACUGAGACACGGUCCAGACGCCUACGGGAGGCAGCAGUGGGGAAUAUUGCACAAUGGGCGCAAGCCUGAUGCAGCCAGGCCGCGUGGAUGAAGAAGGCCUUCGGGUUGUAAAGUACUUUCAGCGGGGAGGCGUUACCCGCAGAAGAAGCACCGGCUAACUCCGUGCCAGCAGCCGCGGUAAUUC